GUGAGGAAUUUUCCGCAAUGGGCGAAAGCAUGACGGAGCAAUGCCGCGUGAAGGAUGACGGCCUAUGGGUUGUAAACUUCUUUUCUCAGAAAAGAAUUAUGACGGUAUCUGAGGAAUAAGCAUCGGCUAACUCUGUGCCAGCAGCCGCGGUAAGCCAGAGGCUGCAAGAGUUAUCCGGCAUGAUUGGGCGUAAAGCGUCUGUAGGUUGGUUAAAAAGUAUUCUGUCAAAGAUUAGGGCUUAACCCUAGAUAGGCAGAAUAAACUUUUAAGCUAGAGUUUGGUAGAGGCAGAGGGAAUUCCCGGUGGAGCGGUGAAAUGCGUAGAUAUCGGGAGGAACACCAAAAGCGAAGUCACUCUGCUGGGCCAAUACUAACACUGAGGGACGAAAGCGAGGGGAGCAAAUGGGAUUAGAUGCCCUGGUAGUCC
rnacentral:rRNA from 1 species